rnacentral:hammerhead_ribozyme from 1 species
GCUGAUGAGUCCAAAAUAGGACGAAAUGCGAAUCC